rnacentral:tRNA from 1 species
CGCGGCGUAGGGGAGUUCGGUCGUCCCCGCUGGGCUCAUAACCCGGAGAUCGUCGGUUCGAAUCCGACCGCCGCUAC